rnacentral:rRNA from 1 species
GGGUUCCGCGGUUGCAGGCUUAACACAUGCAGUCGAGCGGUAGCACAGGGGAGCUUGCUCCCCGGGUGACGAGCGGCGGACGGGUGAGUAAUGUCUGGGAAACUGCCUGAUGGAGGGGGAUAACUACUGGAAACGGUAGCUAAUACCGCAUAACGUCGCAAGACCAAAGAGGGGGACCUUCGGGCCUCUUGCCAUCAGAUGUGCCCAGAUGGGAUUAGCUAGUAGGUGGGGUAAUGGCUCACCUAGGCGACGAUCCCUAGCUGGUCUGAGAGGAUGACCAGCCACACUGGAACUGAGACACGGUCCAGACUCCUACGGGAGGCAGCAGUGGGGAAUAUUGCACAAUGGGCGCAAGCCUGAUGCAGCCAUGCCGCGUGUGUGAAGAAGGCCUUCGGGUUGUAAAGCACUUUCAGCGAGGAGGAAGGGGGUGAGCUUAAUACCCUCAUUAAAUUGACGUUACUUCCAGAAGAAGCACCGGCUAA